rnacentral:rRNA from 1 species
GAUGGACGCUAGCGACAGGCUUAACACAUGCAAGUCGAGGGGCAGCAAUUUGUAGCAAUACAAAGUUGGCGACCGGCGCACGGGUGAGUAACGCGUAUGCAACCUACCCACAACAGAAGAAUAAUCCGGCGAAAGUCGGUCUAAUACUUCAUAAAACAGGGACACCGCAUGGUGUUAUUUGUUAAAGAUUUAUCGGUUGUGGAUGGGCAUGCGUACCAUUAGGUAGUUGGUGAGGUAACGGCUCACCAAGCCUACGAUGGUUAGGGGUUCUGAGAGGAAAGUCCCCCACACUGGUACUGAGACACGGACCAGACUCCUACGGGAGGCAGCAGUGAGGAAUAUUGGUCAAUGGGCGAGAGCCUGAACCAGCCAAGUCGCGUGAAGGAUGACGGCCCUAUGGGUUGUAAACUUCUUUUGCAGGGGAAUAAAGAUAUUCACGUGUGGAUAGUUGUAUGUACCCUGCGAAUAAGCAUCGGCUAACUCCGUGCCAGCAGCCGCGGUAAUACGGAGGAUGCGAGCGUUAUCCGGAUUUAUUGGGUUUAAAGGGUGCGUAGGUGGACUGUUAAGUCAGUGGUGAAAGUUUGUCGCUCAACGAUAAAAUUGCCGUUGAAACUGGUGGUCUUGAGUAUGGAUGAAGUAGGCGGAAUGCGUGGUGUAGCGGUGAAAUGCAUAGAGAUCACGCAGAACUCCGAUUGCGAAGGCAGCUUACUAAGGCAUAACUGACACUGAAGCACGAAAGCGUGGGUAUCAAACAGG